AGCUCCAGUAGCGUAUAUUAAAGUUGUUGCAGCUAAAAAGCUCGUAGUUGGAUUUCUGGCGUGGUGCGCCCGGCCCGCCGCCGCUAAGGCGGCGAGUGCCGGCGCGCGCCUGCCAUCCUUCCGGAGAGCGUGCCUGCCCUUCACUGGGUUGGGCACGCGAUCUGGAUCGUUUACUUUGAAAAAAUUAGAGUGUUUAAAGCAGGCUUACGCUUCUGAAUACAUUAGCAUGGAAUAAUAAGAUAGGACUUUGGUUCUAUUUUGUUGGUUUCUAGGACUAAAGUAAUGAUUGAUAGGGACAGUUGGGGGUGCUAGUAUUUAACGGCCAGAGGUGAAAUUCUUGGAUUCGUUAAAGACUAACUAAUGCGAAAGCAUUCACCAAGGAUGUCUUCU
rnacentral:rRNA from 1 species